rnacentral:rRNA from 1 species
GACAGAGGUGCCGAGCGUUAGGCGGAAUCACUGGGCUUAAAGCGUGCGCAGGCGGUGAUGUAAGACAGUUGUGAAAUCCCCGGGCUCAACCUGGGAACUGCAUCUGUGACUGCAUUGCUGGAGUGCGGCAGAGGGGGAUGGAAUUCCGCGUGUAGCAGUGAAAUGCGUAGAUAUGCGGAGGAACACCGAUGGCGAAGGCAAUCCCCUGGGCCUGCACUGACGCUCGUGCACGAAAGCGUGGGGAGCAAACAGG